rnacentral:lncRNA from 1 species
AGUCAAAUUUUAAGAAACUUGUUUUUUCAGGCUCUAAUGUAGCUGUUUGACAUGACUCCAGAAGGCCCAGGAUCUCUUUCAAACAUGUAUGGUGGAAUAAUUAUUCCUGAAAACAGACGCUGAAAUGCAUUUUGGAAAACAGGAGCCCAUGGAUCUUACUUUAGUACAAGAAUCUUUUUUUUAAAUUCUGAUUCAUAAAAUUAAUUAUGUGAUUUGAAAGCAGAUCAACCCAUGGUAAUUUUUGUUAAAUCUGUUAAGAUUUUUGUAGUUAAAGGCCAGUGUAAUCCAUAAUCAGUUAUUCAUUCAUGAGGAAAUUGAUCUAUGGCAUAUCCUAUGAAGUAUGUAGGUAUUUUCUCCAUAGUUCUAAUAAAAACUGAAUGGUUUGCUGUUUUUUCAAAGGAAGAGGGAAGAAAGUUGGAGAAGCAACUGAUUCUAAUCAUUCUUAGGUUUCAAUCUGAUCACUAAUGCUAUCAUAGUACCUAG